ACGGAAGGCAGCAGUGGGGAAUAUUGCACAAUGGGGGAAACCCUGAUGCAGCGACGCCGCGUGAGUGAUGAAGUAUUUCGAUAUGUAAAGCUCUAUCAGCAGGGAAGAAAAUGACGGUACCUGACUAAGAAGCCCCGGCUAACUACGUGCCAGCAGCCGCGGUAAUACGUAGGGGGCAAGCGUUAUCCGGAUUUACUGGGUGUAAAGGGAGUGUAGGUGGCCAUGCAAGUCAGAAGUGAAAGCCCGGGGCUCAACCCCGGGACUGCUUUUGGAACUGUAAGGCUUGAGUGCAGGAGAGGUAAGCGGAAUUCCUAGUGUAGCGGUGAAAUGCGUAGAUAUUAGGAGGAACACCAGUGGCGAAGGCGGCUUACUGGACUGUAACUGACACUGAGGCUCGAAAGCGUGGGGAGCAAACAGGAUUAGAUACCCUGGUA
rnacentral:rRNA from 1 species